rnacentral:rRNA from 1 species
GGAAUACGCUGGCGGCGUGCCUAAUACAUGCAGUCGAGCGGACCUGAUGGAGUGCUUGCACUCCUGAUGGUUAGCGGCGGACGGGUGAGUAACACGUAGGCAACCUGCCCUCAAGACUGGGAUAACUACCGGAAACGGUAGCUAAUACCGGAUAAUUUAUUUUGCAGCAUUGUGAAAUAAUGAAAGGCGGAGCAAUCUGUCACUUGAGGAUGGGCCUGCGGCGCAUUAGCUAGUUGGUGGGGUAACGGCCCACCAAGGCGACGAUGCGUAGCCGACCUGAGAGGGUGAACGGCCACACUGGGACUGAGACACGGCCCAGACUCCUACGGGAGGCAGCAGUAGGGAAUCUUCCGCAAUGGGCGAAAGCCUGACGGAGCAACGCCGCGUGAGUGAUGAAGGUUUUCGGAUCGUAAAGCUCUGUUGCCAAGGAAGAACGUCUUCUAGAGUAACUGCUAGGAGAGUGACGGUACUUGAGAAGAAAGCCCCGGCUAACUACGUGCCAGCAGCCGCGGUAAUACGUAGGGGGGCAAGCGUUGUCCGGACUUAUUGGGCGUAAAGCGCGCGCAGGCGGUUCUGUAUGUCUGGUGUUUAAACCCGAGG